AGAGACUAGUGAUGAAACCCAUGCGAUGUGCAUAUACCAGAUUGUCAGUGUUGAUACACGCAUGCUGCCUUCCUUCUGAAGUCUCU